rnacentral:rRNA from 1 species
UACGAAGGGGGCUAGCGUUGCUCGGAAUCACUGGGCGUAAAGCGCACGUAGGCGGACAUUUAAGUCAGGGGUGAAAUCCCAGAGCUCAACUCUGGAACUGCCUUUGAUACUGGGUGUCUUGAGUAUGGAAGAGGUGAGUGGAAUUCCGAGUGUAGAGGUGAAAUUCGUAGAUAUUCGGAGGAACACCAGUGGCGAAGGCGGCUCACUGGGUCCAUUACUGACGCUGAGGUGCGAAAGCGUGGGGAGCAAACAGG